rnacentral:misc_RNA from 1 species
GAUGAAGAACGUAGCGAAAUGCGAUAAGUAAUGUGAAUUGCAGAAUUCAGUGAAUCAUCGAAUCUUUGAACGCACAUUGCGCCCGCCAGUAUUCUGGCGGGCAUGCCUGUCUGAGCGUCAUUUCAACCCUCAAGCAACUUCUGCUUGGUGUUGGGGAUCGGCCGUCAAACGCCGCCCCCGAAAUCUAUUGGCGAUCUCGCUGUAGCUUCCUAUGCGUAGUAGUAACAUCUCGCAUCUGGAGAGCGGCGCGGUCAUGCCGUAAAACACCCAACUUCUGAACGUUUGACCUCGGAUCAGGUAGGAAUACCCGCUGAACUUAAGCAUAUCAAUAAGCGGAGGA